CGACCGGCGCACGGGUGAGUAACACGUAUGGAACCUGCCCGCAGCAGGGGGAUAAGCGGAAGAAAUUCCGUCUAAUACCGCGUAACACCGCGGAGGGGCAUCCCUCGGCGGUUAAAGAUUCAUCGGCUGCGGAUGGCCAUGCGGCGCAUUAGCUAGUCGGCGGGGUAACGGCCCACCGAGGCGACGAUGCGUAGGGGUUCUGAGAGGAAGGUCCCCCACACUGGUACUGAGACACGGACCAGACUCCUACGGGAGGCAGCAG
rnacentral:rRNA from 1 species